CCGUUCGAUCAUGAUCUUCUUGCAAAUAUCGCGCAGCGUGUUCGCGAUCGUGCGCGCCGGGAUGUCGCAACGGAACACAUGGCACAUGUGUUUCCGGGUCGAUCUGUCUCUUGCCACGUAAGCAAAAUUUACUUACCGGCAGUGAUCUCUGCCAACACCCCACACCCUAACCGUGUGAAUUGGCUGUGUGUUGAGAACGGUAAGAUUCUCUGGAUCUAUCAGUUUCAGCGCGCCUUCGUCCAGAUCCAUAAACAGAUCUUUGCCCUGGUAACAUUUAAAAUCACGUGUUUUAGUAGCUACUAUAAUUUCGUUUUAUUAUAAAUUAAAUUUGCAAUUGACACUAACGUCACCCCAUCGCCCAACCACAUCGAGAAGAUCGUUUCUACCCAGCGAUAAGUCUACGAUACACUUGUUGACAGCCUUGCUGCUUCUUUCGGGCGUCAGGUCCUCCUCGGCGAUUUCUGUCCAUCCAAGAGAGCGUACAGCGAAUCUGAUAGGUUUGUCCCUGCCCUCGGAGUCCGCACGUGCGGGAUAGCUCCUUCGUCUGAAAGGUGAAUAGACAGAGAGAGAGAGAGAGAGUGUGUGUGUUUGUGAAGCGAGCCAUUAUAUCGAAGAAAAACUGACAAACAAGUAUCGAUGAUAUCUUACUUGAGAGCUAGCUCUACUUUUCUCUUGUUUUCUAACUCCUGAUCCAGGGCCGAGCUCGUGUUACUGCGGGUGACGGUGUUCACCAUGCCGCUCAGAGUGUGGAAAUUAUUUAUCUGUUAUCGAUAGCACCAAAUCAUAAAAGUAUUCUUUCCAAAUUUCUAUUUAUUAAAAGUACUUUUUAAAUCUC